rnacentral:rRNA from 1 species
UUGGGACUGAGACACGGCCCAAACUCCUACGGGAGGCUGCAGUAGGGAAUCUUCCCCAAUGGGCGAAAGCCUGAUGGAGCAACGCCGCGUGUGUGAUGAAGGCUUUCGGGUCGUAAAGCACUGUUGUAUGGGAAGAACAGCUAGAGUAGGGAAUGACUUUAGUUUGACGGUACCAUACCAGAAAGGGACGGCUAAAUACGUGCCAGCAGCCGCGGUAAUACGUAUGUCCCGAGCGUUAUCCGGAUUUAUUGGGCGUAAAGCGAGCGCAGACGGUUAAUUAAGUCUGAUGUGAAAGCCCGGAGCUCAACUCCGGAAAGGCAUUGGAAACUGGUUAACUUGAGUGCAGUAGAGGUAAGUGGAACUCCAUGUGUAGCGGUGGAAUGCGUAGAUAUAUGGAAGAACACCAGCGGCGAAGGCGGCUUACUGGACUGUAACUGACGUUGAGGCUCGAAAGUGUGGGUAGCAAACAGGAUUAGAUACCCUGGUAGUCCACACCGUAAACGAUGAACACUAGGUGUUAGGAGGUUUCCGCCUCUUAGUGCCGAAGCUAACGCAUUAAGUGUUCCGCCUGGGGAGUACGACCGCAAGGUUGAAACUCAAAGGAAUUGACGGGGACCCGCACAAGCGGUGGAGCAUGUGGUUUAAUUCGAAGCAACGCGAAGAACCUUACCAGGUCUUGACAUCCUUUGAAGCUUUUAGAGAUAGAAGUGUUCUCUUCGGAGACAAAGUGACAGGUGGUGCAUGGUCGUCGUCAGCUCGUGUCGUGAGAUGUUGGGUUAAGUCCCGCAACGAGCGCAACCCUUAUUGUUAGUUGCCAGCAUUCAGAUGGGCACUCUAGCGAGACUGCCGGUGACAAACCGGAGGAAGGCGGGGACGACGUCAGAUCAUCAUGCCCCUUAUGACCUGGGCUACACACGUGCUACAAUGGCGUAUACAACGAGUUGCCAACCUGUGAAGGUGAGCUAAUCUCUUAAAGUACGUCUCAGUUCGGACUGCAGUCUGCAACUCGACUGCACGAAGUCGGAAUCGCUAGUAAUCGCGGAUCAGCACGCCGCGGUGAAUACGUUCCCGGGUCUUGUACACACCGCCCGUCACACCAUGGGAGUUUGUAAUGCCCAAAGCCGGUGGCCUAACCGUAAGGAGGGAACC